rnacentral:tRNA from 1 species
GAGGGCAUAGCUCAGUUAAUAGAGUGUUUGCCUCACAUGCCAAAGCUCUGGGUUCAAUUCCCAGCACCAACA